rnacentral:lncRNA from 1 species
GACGAUCCAAAAUCAGGUUGCCAAAGCUUAGAUGCUGAUCCAAAAGAUAUCGCGACUCAAGCUUCUCCUUCAAAAAUCUUUGGCCAAUCCUUACUCCUGAUCAUAUGUCACCCCAAUGACUAUGACAGAAUAUUUCGAAAAAAGUUAAUCCCCUCAUGGUCUCAUCAUAUCAUGCAUUCUACAGUAAGCUAUGUCCCUCUAGCUUCUGCGCUCGCAUAUCCAGCUUUUGCUCAUGGGUGCCCGCGCCCUCUGCACUUGUCUGAUCCUUGCCUUGGUCGAUGAGCUUUGUGGUGGCCUU